rnacentral:rRNA from 1 species
AGUGAACGCUGGCGGUAGGCCUAACACAUGCAAGUCGAACGGCAGCACAGUAAGAGCUUGCUCUUACGGGUGGCGAGUGGCGGACGGGUGAGGAAUACAUCGGAAUCUACUUUUUCGUGGGGGAUAACGUAGGGAAACUUACGCUAAUACCGCAUACGACCUACGGGUGAAAGCAGGGGAUCUUCGGCCCUUGCGCGAUUGUAUGAGCCGAUGUCGGAUUAGCUAGUUGGCGGGGUAAAGGCCCACCAAGGCGACGAUCCGUAGCUGGUCUGAGAGGAUGAUCAGCCACACUGGAACUGAGACACGGUCCAGACUCCUACGGGAGGCAGCAGUGGGGAAUAUUGGACAAUGGGCGCAAGCCUGAUCCAGCCAUACCGCGUGGGUGAAGAAGGCCUUCGGAUUGUAAAGCACUUUUGUUGGGGAGGAAAAGCAGCAGGUUAAUACCCCGCUGUUCUGACGGUACCCAAAGAAUAAGCACCGGCUAACUUCGUG